UACGGGAGGCAGCAGUGGGGAAUAUUGCACAAUGGGCGAAAGCCUGAUGCAGCUAUGCCGCGUGUAUGAAGAAGGCCUUAGGGUUGUAAAGUACUUUCAUCGGGGAGGAAAAAACAAAACUAAUAAUUUUAUUUCUUGACGUUACCCGAAAAAGAAGCACCGGCUAACUCCGUGCCAGCAGCCGCGGUAAUACGGAGGGUGCUAGCGUUAAUCAGAAUUACUGGGCGUAAAGAGCACGUAGGUGGUUUUUUUAAGUCAGAUGUGAAAUCCCCUGGGCUUAACCUAGGAACUGCAUUUUGAAACUGAAAUACUAGAGUAUCGUAGAGGGAGGUAGAAUUCUAGGUGUAGCGGUGAAAUGCGUAGAUAUCUGGAGGAAUACCUGUGGCGAAAGCGGCCUCCUAAACGAAUACUGACACUGAGGUGCGAAAGCGUGGGGAGCAAACAGGGAUUAGAUACC
rnacentral:rRNA from 1 species